GAUGAACGCUGGCGGCGUGCCUAAUACAUGCAAGUCGAGCGAACGGACGAGAAGCUUGCUUCUCUGAUGUUAGCGGCGGACGGGUGAGUAACACGUGGAUAACCUACCUAUAAGACUGGGAUAACUUCGGGAAACCGGAGCUAAUAACGGAUAAUAUUUUGAACCGCAUGGUUCAAAAGUGAAAGACGGUCUUGCUGUCACUUAUAGAUGGAUCCGCGCUGCAUUAGCUAGUUGGUAAGGUCACGGCUUACCAAGGCAACGAUGCAUAGCCGACCUGAGAGGGUGAUCAGCCACACUGGAACUGAGACACGGUCCAGACUCCUACGGGAGGCAGCAGUGGGGAAUCUUCCGCAAUGGGCGAAAGCCUGACGGAGCAACGCCGCGUGAGUGAUGAAGGUCUUCGGAUCGUAAAACUCUGUUAUUAGGGAAGAACAUAUGUGUAAGUAACUGUGCACAUCUUGACGGUACCUAAUCAGAAAGCCACGGCUAACUACGUG
rnacentral:rRNA from 1 species